rnacentral:rRNA from 1 species
GACGAACGCUGGCGGCGUGCUUAACACAUGCAAGUCGAACGGUAAGGCCCUUCGGGGUACACGAGUGGCGAACGGGUGAGUAACACGUGGGUGAUCUGCCCUGCACUUCGGGAUAAGCCUGGGAAACUGGGUCUAAUACCGGAUAGGACCACUGCCUGCAUGGGUGGUGGUGGAAAGCUUUUGCGGUGUGGGAUGGGCCCGCGGCCUAUCAGCUUGUUGGUGGGGUGAUGGCCUACCAAGGCGACGACAGGUAGCCGGCCUGAGAGGGUGACCGGCCACACUGGGACUGAGAUACGGCCCAGACUCCUGCGGGAGGCAGCAGUGGGGAAUAUUGCACAAUGGGCGCAAGCCUGAUGCAGCGACGCCGCGUGAGGGAUGACGGCCUUCGGGUUGUAAACCUCUUUCAGCACCGACGAAGCGCAAGUGACGGUAGGUGCAGAAGAAGGACCGGCCAACUACGUGCCAGCCGCCGCAGUAA